CAAUUUGAAUACAUAAAAGACAAUAAAAACUUUCCACUCUAUUAAUACACAUAACUUGAUCCUCUCCUUCUCAUCUCAAAUAAACCCACAAUAUACACACAAAUAAAAGAGCAGGCCCUUUAUCUCCUCUCACUCUCUCGAUUACAUUAAACAAGCACAGAGGAAUUCUCAUCUUCAUAAACCAAACCCAACCAGCCACACCCCCUUGAUUCCCCUUCUUUCUCUCUCGGUUCCGGUGACAGGAGCUAGUUGCCGGCUCCUCUUCUUCUCCGGCAAGCGAGCCAUACUCCACAACCACCAGCAACCCUACCCCCUCUCUGCAAUAAUUAGCUGACCACCUACAGUGGUGGCGGCGCGUGAUGGUGACGGCACGAUGGCCAGCGGCGGCGACAAAGCAGAGUGACGGCGGCGGCAGCGAUGGUCUCAGGAAGGCUCGAUGAUGUUGAUGUUGUCUCCGACGACGCGACGACGGACGGCGGAGCCGUCGGUUACUAGCCGACGGCGAGACAGCAACGGUGGUGUUAUUUUGGGCUUCGGUCCAGUGAUGGUUUAGCUUCAAGUUUGGUUUGAGUUGUUCUAGUGAAGGUUUGGGAGUCUCGGUCAGAUUUGUUUUGGAUGCGGGUUCAGUUUCGGUUCGGGUCCCGUUCGGGUUCAGUCAACAGAUGGGUUCAAGUCAGCUGGUCAGCUCGUUGUUUGGGUCAAGCGACUUGGUCAGACGGCCCGGUUUGGUUUACUCGGUCAAACCGAGUCAACUCGGUCAAACCCGGUUAACUCAGCCAACUUCCUUCGGCAUUUCGACACAUUUAGGACGGAUAUUAUUUUCAUUGAUUAUUCCUUAUUUCAUACGUAAAAACGAGCUCGAACCGAACAAAACGAUGAGUUAUUAGUUAAUUUUAGCUUGGUCUUAUUUA